GCUGGGCUCAGUGGCCUAUGCCUGUAAUCCCAGCAACUUGGGAGGCUAAUGCAGGAGGAUCACAAGUUCAAAACCAGCUUCAUGAUUUAGUGAGGCCCUAAGCAACUUAGAGAGACCUUGUCUCAC
rnacentral:sRNA from 1 species